GCUCUGGUGGUCUAGUAGAAUGAUACGUGCUUUGGGACUUUCACAAAAGUAAUCAGAUGCACGGGGUCCCGGGUUCAAAUCCCGGCCAGGGUC